rnacentral:rRNA from 1 species
GACGUAGGGCGCGAGCGUUGUCCGGAUUUAUUGGGCGUAAAGAGCUCGUAGGCGGUCUGUUGCGUCCGCUGUGAAAACCCGGGGCUUAACCCCUGGCUUGCAGUGGAUACGGACAGACUAGAGGUAGGUAGGGGAGAAUGGAAUUCCCGGUGUAGCGGUGAAAUGCGCAGAUAUCGGGAGGAACACCGGUGGCGAAGGCAGCUCGCUGGGACGUUACUGACACUGAGGCGCGAAAGCGUGGGGAGCGAACAGG